CCUCCUUUUCUUAGUGGGAACCAGCAUGCAGUGCUGCUCCCUAUCCUGAAGGAAAGGGCUCUGGCCCCUUCACAUCUUCAGUGCCAGCAGUUUCCUGUCUUCAGGUUUAAACGGCAGGACAUAA
rfam:Ictidomys tridecemlineatus contig074188, whole genome shotgun sequence.